rnacentral:rRNA from 1 species
GAGUUUGAUCGUGGCUCAGAACGAACGCUGGCGGCAGGCCUAACACAUGCAAGUCGAACGAGCUGAGACCUUCGGGUCUCGAUGCUAGUGGCGCACGGGUGAGUAACGCGUGGGAACGUACCCUUUAGUACGGAAUAACGCGGGGAAACUUGCGCUAAUACCGUAUACGCCCUCCGGGGGAAAGAUUUAUCGCUAAAGGAUCGGCCCGCGUCUGAUUAGGUAGUUGGUGAGGUAACGGCUCACCAAGCCGACGAUCAGUAGCUGGUCUGAGAGGAUGAGUCAGCCACACUGGGACUGAGACACGGCCCAGACUCCUACGGGAGGCAGCAGUGGGGAAUAUUGGACAAUGGGCGAAAGCCUGAUCCAGCCAUGCCGCGUGAGUGAAGAAGGCCUU